rnacentral:rRNA from 1 species
UACGAAGGGGGCUAGCGUUGUUCGGAAUCACUGGGCGUAAAGCGCACGUAGGCGGACUUUCAAGUCAGGGGUGAAAUCCCGGAGCUCAACUUCGGAAUUGCCUUUGAUACUGUUGGUCUCGAGUCCGGAAGAGGUGGGUGGAAUUCCUAGUGUAGAGGUGAAAUGCGUAGAUAUCCGGAGGAACGCCAGUGGCGAAAGCGGCCACCUGGACUGUACCUGACGCUGACACGCGAAAGCUAGGGGAGCGAACGGG